rnacentral:rRNA from 1 species
AGAGUUGAUAUGGCUCAGGAUGAACGCUAGCUACAGGCUUAACACAUGCAAGUCGAGGGGCAGCAGGACGAUAGCUUGCUAUGUUGCUGGCGACCGGCGCACGGGUGAGUAACGCGUAUCCAACCUUCCCCUUAGUAGGGCACAGCCCGGUGAAAAUCGGAUUAAUACCCUAUGUUAUUCGUCGAGGACAUCUGAAGUGAAUCAAAGAUUUAUCGCUAAGGGAUGGGGAUGCGUCUGAUUAGGUAGUCGGCGGGGUAACGGCCCACCGAGCCCUCGAUCAGUAGGGGUUCUGAGAGGAAGGUCCCCCACACUGGUACUGAGACACGGACCAGACUCCUACGGGAGGCAGCAGUGAGGAAUAUUGGUCAAUGGGCGAGAGCCUGAACCAGCCAAGUAAGCGUGCAGGAUGACGGCCCUAUGGGUUGUAAACUGCUUUUAUACGGGGAUAAAGUGAGGGACGUGUCCCUUAUUGUAGGUACCGUAUGAAUAAGGACCGGCUAAUUCCGUGCCAGCCGCCGC